rnacentral:rRNA from 1 species
GAUGAACGCUGGCGGCAUGCCUAACACAUGCAAGUCGAGCGGCAGCGCGAGUAGUUUACUACUUGGCGGCGAGCGGCGGACGGCUGAGUAACGCGUGGGAACGUGCCCCAAAGUGAGGGAUAACUUCGAGAAAUCGGAGCUAAUACCGCAUAGUAUCUUCGGAUUAAAGAAUUUAUUCGCUUUGGGAGCGGCCCGCGUCGGAUUAGGUAGUUGGUGAGGUAAAGGCUCACCAAGCCGACGACCGUAGCUGGUCUGAGAGGAUGACCAGCCAGACUGGAACUGAGACACGGUCCAGACUCCUACGGGAGGCAGCAGUGAGGAAUCUUCCACAAUGGGCGAAAGCCUGAUGGAGCAACGCCGCGUGCAGGAUGAAGGCCUUCGGGUUGUAAACUGCUUUUAUAAGUGAAGAAUAUGACGGUAACUUAUGAAUAAGGAUCGGCUAACUACGUGCCAGCAGCCGCCGUAA